UAAACGAGGAAAAAUAUGGCUAAAGUUCUCAAUUGUUUUUAUCAUAUGAUUAUUUCUGUUUUCACAUUCAUCAUUGUAGUCGACUGUGUUGUUAUAUGCGAUUUAGAAAAAGAUUGUCGUCAAUAUCUUUGUAUCCCUCCUGAAUUUCCAAGAUGCAUAGGGGGAAUUUGUCGAUGUAAGUAAUUGUGGCAAUUAUAAUGUUGUACUUUUAUUAUCUCGUUGACACCUCAAUCUUUGUUGGUCAGAUCUUAAAAUUUGUUUGAUCAAUUCAAAAUCAUAUUGUUGUAUUUCGCAAGUGUGGUUAUAAAGGCAAUAUAUAUGAUUAUAUAUUGUAUAAA